rnacentral:rRNA from 1 species
GACGAACGCUGGCGGCGUGCCUAAUACAUGCAAGUAGAACGCACAGUUUAUACCGUAGCUUGCUACACCAUAGACUGUGAGUUGCGAACGGGUGAGUAACGCGUAGGUAACCUGCCUGGUAGCGGGGGAUAACUAUUGAAAACGAUAGCUAAUACCGCAUAAUAUUGAUUAUUGCAUGAUAAUUGAUUGAAAGAUGCUAUUGCAUCACUACCAGAUGGACCUGCGUUGUAUUAGCUAGUAGGUGAGGUAACGGCUCACCUAGGCGACGAUACAUAGCCGACCUGAGAGGGUGAUCGGCCACACUGGGACUGAGACACGGCCCAGACUCCUACGGGAGGCAGCAGUGGGGAAUCUUCGGCAAUGGACGAAAGUCUGACCGAGCAACGCCGCGUGAGUGAAGAAGGUUUUCGGAUCGUAAAGCUCUGUUGUAAGAGAAGAACGGGUGUGAGAGUGGAAAGUUCACACUGUGACGGUAUCUUACCAGAAAGGGACGGCUAACUACGUG